CAUGUAGAGAAUUGACCUCUCUACAGAUUUAUUAUAAGUAUAGAUAAAUGUACACAUGGUCCAAUAUAUUAUCAUAUAUACGCUAGUGUAAUAAAUCCUAGUUAUGUGCAGAUAAAAAAAAAUAUGUUUUCUCUGAAUGCAGUUGUAUUUGAUAUAGAUUUUUAAUUGAAUUUGUAUACAAAAUGUUUUAAGGUUCAGUGACGAAUUGUUUUAGACAGGACAAUUUGUAUUGUAUACUGUCGUCGUCAUACUCGGGAACGCUUGUACUAAUGGUGUAAUUUGAAGUGUCAUCGACUUUGUGUUCGUGUAGGUGAUAUUGGAAAUAUUGAGAGCACGACGUCCAAUUGUUUCUGCAGAUGUUAAAAGGCAGGCAAUAGUGAUCUCAUUGAUAUUAACGUGUUACAAGACUAUUUUAAGUUUUUUUUUUAAUUUUUUUUUUUUGUAAAGAUUUGAUACAAUUUUACGUUACGUUUAAUGCUUUUUGAUUUAUUAAUGACGGCUUAACGCUUUUUGUUACAGUCCAUUUUUGUGUUGGCAGUUUUUUUUUUUUGCGACUUUUGACCGCACCGUUUGUUGUUCGCGCAAAAAUAUUGCACAACGUGUAAUGAAAAUUAUACUUUGUUGUAAUCGUUUCGUUUUAUAAUUUUAUCCUAUUCAAUGUGACUUGAAUUGAGGUCGCGACGAACAGACGUCAAAUUGACGUUUCUUAAUUUAUAUUUGACGUGUGUUUAGUGUGAUUUUAAUCUGAUACCGAAUCUAUUGAGGCGAAAAUAUUAUAAAUAUUAGAAAAUAAACAAUUGUAUAGUUUUGAAGAGGUGUUUGGGGUAUUGUAUGGACAAUGACGAUGGUUUUAUAGCGGCUGUUUAUUAUAUUUUUGCUAUUCUGUAGUUUAAGUUAAUAUUUGUAAUAAAUUUUUGUCAUAGCCGCAUGAAAGCUUAGAUAAUUAUGUUUAAAAUGUUACAAAUUUGUAUUUGUUUUGUAUUGUAAAAUGUUUAUUGUGCAUCACAUUGGACACAUUAAAAAGAUUUGUAAAGACAAUGGCGAAAUUAUCCAAUAGAGGGCGCCAGUGAAAUUUUGUAAAAUUUUUAAAUUUAAUAUCUCAAUUUCGUUAUUGUGUAACAGUGUGGUUUCCAUAGUAACUUUUGUUUCUUUUAAACUGUUUUUUUUUUUUUUAAUAUACCUUUUAUAUGAGUGGCCGCUCAAGACAUCAGCUGAAAAUGUCAACUUUACCCAUACACUUCUGUACUCUCUUUAAUGCUAGAAGCUGUUCGAAUGGUCGGUCAAAUGGUCAUACCUUUUAUAUGCCUUACUAACAUGUGCCAGCAUUGCUCGAGCUAUAAGUUAUUGUAAAACGCAUAAAAACAAUAAUAGUUACCAUAUUAUAAUUCUGUUUAAAAUACAGCACAACAGUUCAAAAACAAUUUAGUUAUGUUCAAGCCAGACGUGUGAAGGUAUGCGCAGACGAGGGAUAACUUGUCCACGGACAUCAAAAUGCCUUUGUAAAAGCUUAAAAUGUACGUAGGGGAUCGUCUUUAAAAUUUAUCAUUUAUAAUACUACAUGUAUUUCUCGUUUCAUUCGUUCAAACGACUUCAAUAUUUCCUCCCUAUCAGAGCCAAAAUCAUGGUGGCUCAAUUUUUUUUUAUACUACUGAGGCCACCUCUUUUUUUGACUCCGCCUAAUAUAUUUGAAAUUUCACUUAUUUUUUAUACUGUGGUGGCAAACAAGCAUACGGCCCACCUGAUGGUAAGCGGUUAUCGUAGCCUAUGAACGCCUGCAAUACCAGAGGUAUUACGCGCGCGUUGCCGACCCUGAAGAAACUUCUUUACCCCUCUUUUGAAGAACCCCAUGCUGUAGUCUCUUGGGAAAACCUCAAUCUAUCCUGCUUUCUAUUCUGGAUAUAUCUUACCUCCGUUCCCGGUUUUGUAUUCUGCUUCUUCCCUUACGUCCCAGACGUGCUAUCUAGACCCUACUUGUAAGACAUUUUUUUGUUUUAUAUAUAUAUAUAUAUAAAGCAAGUUACAUAGAAGUUAGACUGUCCUCGGAUAUUUAAAAGCCUGUUAGAGGAUUGGCAUUUGGAGUAUGGGGUUCUUCAAAAACACACCCCUGGUGUUGCAGGCAUCCAUAGGCUACAGUGACCGUUUACUAUCAGACGGGGUGUAUGCUUGCUCGCCACAUUUGUGGUAUAAGAAAUCCUUCAAUAAAAUGAAAAAGUGUUUACUUGAGCAGGUUUGAUGCAACCGUUUGUCGAAUUUGCGGUCCACGUACAUAUAUAUUUUAUAAUCACUUACCUUUAGGUAGCUAUGGAGUCAAUGUAUCGUGCCAGUAUAGAAAAAAGGAGGUACAUAUAUGAAUAUAGGAAUUUUUAUUAGCGGACAAAAUGUCCCUCGUCUGCGCAAACCGUAGUCUCGUUUCGACUGUUUUAGUAAUUUAAGCACGUGUCGAGGGAUUUAGUAAGAAAUAUUGUAUUCGACUAAAAUUUUGUUGUUUAGUAGUAUAUAUAGUAAGUUACUAAAGCAGUCCCGAUUAGGCUCAAGUUGGCAGCGACAAGAUUCAAUACGACAAAUAACAAUAUCGCAGCUCACAGACACGUGUGCGUUUAAGUUCAACUAUUUGUUUUAUUAUAUUGUCCGCUGCGUUUUUAUGUUAUGAUCUGAUCCUAUUGAUAAGUUAAAUAUUUUAGUUGUUUACUAAAAAUAUGUUUAAUAUACUGUACAUUUUACAUAUAUAAUUAUAUUUCGCACAUAUAAGAUGUCGUUACUUCAAAAAAAAAAAAGUGUAUUUUGAAAUCGACAAUAAUAAAUCAGUAUUUAAAUUAUUAAUUUUUUUUACAUGGUAACAAUUUCUUGUUUUCGGAGUAUAUUUAUCUGUUAAUGUUUUUUUUUUUUUUAAUUCUAAUUUUUUUCCUGUAUUUUGUAUUGGUAUUAUUUUUUGGUAGUCUUGUUUUAGGAAUUGUAUGUAUAUUGAUAUGGUGGAGUAGUUAUUUAUCCCGUAGAGGGCGUUGGUAACGUUCAACGAAUUGUUUACAUUGUAGAAGGAAGCAAUAAAUCUAUAUACGAAACGAUA